UGUAGACAUCAAUUUUGCCCAGCCUCUAC
rnacentral:piRNA from 1 species